AGCAGCCGCGGUAAUUCCAGCUCCAAUAGCGUAUAUUAAAGUUGUUGCAGUUAAAAAGCUCGUAGUUGAAUUUCGGGGUCAGUAGAUUGGUCAUGCCUCCGGUAUGUACUGGUCUUACUGGCUCCUCCUUCCUGAUGAACCGUAAUGCCAUUAAUUUGGUGUUGCGGGGAGACUGGACUGUUACUUUGAAAAAUUAGAGUGUUUAAAGCAGGCUAACGCUUGAAUACAUUAGCAUGGAAUAAUGAAAUAGGACGUUCGAUCUUAUUUUGUUGGUUUCUAAGAUUGACGUAAUGAUUAAUAGGGAUAGUUGGGGGCAUUAGUAUUCAAUUGUCAGAGGUGAAAUUCUUGGAUUUAUUGAAGACUAACUACUGCGAAAGCAUUUGCCAAGGAUGUUUCAUUAAUCAAGAACG
rnacentral:rRNA from 1 species